UUUCCAUGAAGUUUUCCAGAGCAUGCAUAUUAUGGACUUCUUUUUUUUUCUUUUUCUUUCUUCCUUCCUUCCUUUCUUUCUUUCUUUCUUUCUUUUUUUUUUUUCUGAAAGGGAUUUUUGCAGUAUUUUGCCAUCAUGAAGAAAGGAUGUGUGAAAAUUGGCAGGUGUUAGAGUCUACUGGUCAUUCAUGCCACGCCUGCUGUGGAGGAAAAAUAAUCAAGAGCUUAACAACCUAUCUGCUUUUGAAGAUAAAGGAUAUGCUGCCAAGGCAGUGAAGUGACUUCUGCGUCUCUAUUUGUUUUCCAGCAAAUGCUUUUCUUAUGAAAAAGAAAAAUCUUGUUGUCAUCUAUGUGAGUGGUGAAGAGACCUUAUGCAGCUAUUUUGACUAUACACGCAGUAAAAAGGUAGACUUUGGAUGCAGACUGUAGCCAUCUCUCCAGCCUUGUCUUUGGCUCCAGAACCUGCUGCUCCUGACAGGAUUAUCUGCUUGGAGCCUGGACUUGAUUUACUUUUGAGUCUAUGGCAGCUGAUGGGCCCUGUUACCAGCACCCAGCUAUGCAUGCUAUGUUGACAUCUUGUGGGACAGCACCCUGUUGAGAAACUAUGCACCACUGACUGACAUCAGUAAGGAGGAUUCUACAUGGCCUGUUUCUCUGCUCCCAGAACAUGCAGAGAAACAUAAAUCCUAACAGAUCCAGGGUCAUUGCACAGCAAGGAGUGCUCAAAAGCUCUCACUUUUUAUCUUCUUGAUAUUUUCUGGUUUACUGUGUUCAAGUUCAGUUGUGAGGAGUUCAAACACACAGUAUGAAAAAAAACCCAACCCAACUUUUGAUAGCCAUGCUCAUGCUCCUUUUACCCAUCUUUGCUGGUAAAUAUACCUUUUUUAUUUUUUUCCCAUGGGUGCCUUAAUUCAGCCAUUUUUUACUUUGUAUUGUGUUGAUUUUACAUUGUGGAUUUCAAUCCUUCAGAUACAGAGUGGUAAGUAUUCCAGAAAGAUAUGUUUAAAUG
ensembl:lncRNA